rnacentral:lncRNA from 1 species
GGGGGGGGGGGACUCAAGCAGAGGGACCGAGAGGAAGGAGGAAGCCUCUUGUCCACGCUGGCACCUUUCCGCGCAGGUCACCUCUGCCUGGAGCUCAGCGCCAGGAGACAAAGGCCCCCCCAAGGGAUAGCCAGCCCCUGCCAAGGGUAAGAGCUGCGCCAGGCCAGGUGGACAGAUCCUGGGAAGAGCAGCCCCUGCCUGCCGCUCGCUCGUGGGAGCCACGCCUGACAGCCCUUCUGGGCUCAAGUCUCCUGCGGGCAUCGGCGCACGCGGGCAGGGCUUGGGGUCCGGGAAGGAGGCCUGACUCCAGGGGGGAGGGGGGUCAACCCUGAAGGUCCCAGGGUUUCUCCCGCAAGAAGGCAUUGCCCACCUCAGACCCCACCUCAAGCCCAUUCAGCCCGGGGGGGGGUUGGCCUCUCACCAGAGAUGCCCCGGCCGAAAAGGCUGCACCAAGGCAGGGAUACGGAGUGAUUUCUGAGGGUCUGGGGGGGAGGCACCCACCCCUCCCUGCUGUUUCCCCUCUGCCUGUGGGAAUCUUUGGAGGCCAGAGGAAGGCAUGGCAGGCAGGAGACCCCACCUGCUCCCGGGCUGGCUCAAAGCCUCCCUUCAUCAGCAGGGGCGGAAGCGAACGGUCUGCCCGUGAAAUCAUGCCCAGCCCGGCAUGGAGAGAAACGUCCCCUGCCCACCCCCCAUCCCCCGUGGGCAGGUCCAGAGAGUGCGUGGCGGCCUUCCAGGGAGCAGCUCCCUCUGCCCACCCGAGCGAGGGGACCUGCUGGGAGUGGGGAGGAGGGCAGGGGCAGAGAGGCAUCCGCUCCCUGGUGGGUCCGCCUUCUUCGCAGGGUCUCUCUGGGCUGGCCGAGAGGGACCGCGACCUGCUGCGCCUCCAGACGGGGAGGAUGAGCCCGGCCAAGAAAGGGAGGGUCACCCAGGAGAUGAAGGAGGAGGCCUUUGAGAGAUACCUGCGGAUCUUCUACAAGGAGCAGCCCAAAAUGGAGAUCCCUAAGGAGGACCCCUUUGACGCUGACGAGGUGCUGGAAGCCCUGCGCCACGUGGACUCCGUGGCCAAGCUCUACGGGCCGGCCAGGCCUAACAUGUUUCUGGGGUGCUUCCCCCGCCCCUCCGUCCUGAAACCUGCAGAACAGACACCCCCGGUAACUGAACUCUCCCCCUUGCGCGGUCUUCUCCCGGGACCUCCCGGGUCCCAUUCCUGGGCUCCUCGCAGCCUGGCCUCAGCAGCCCGGAGGAUCCGGCUGGGAGACUCCCAGCUCCUGCCAAUCUACCCCAGUUCUUCUUGGCUGGGGGGGGAGGGGAGGGGGGAGCCCAUCCCAUCCCAUCCCAUCCCAUCCCAUCCCAUCCCAUCCCAUCCAUACCCUUGA